AAAAGCACAGCUUCACUUGCACUCUUUUUUGCACUCAACCUUCUCUUCUUUUCUCUGGUGUCUGCAUGUGGUGGGGGCUGCCCUUCUCCUAAGCCAAAACCUCCAUCACCAAAGCCAAAACCUCCAUCACCAAAGCCAAAACCAACUCCACCAUCAUGUGGUGGGGGCUGCCCUUCUCCUGAGCCAAAACCAACUCCACCAUCAUGUGGUGGGGGCUGUCCUCCUAAGCCAACACCUCCAUCACCAAAGCCAACACCAACUCCGUCACCUCCAGGAAAAUGCCCUAGGGAUGCACUUAAAUUAGGCGUAUGUGCUAAAGUGCUGGGUUCAUUGCUCAAU
rnacentral:lncRNA from 1 species